GGCCUUGACAUACUAAGAACUUUCCAGAGAUGGAUUGGUGCCUUCGGGAACUUAGAUACAGGUGCUGCGUGGCUGUCGUCAGCUCGUGUCGUGAGAUGUUGGGUUAAGUCCCGNAACGAGCGCAACCCUUUUCCUUAUUUGCCAGCGGGUCAUGCCGGGAACUUUAAGGAUACUGCCAGUGACAAACUGGAGGAAGGCGGGGACGACGUCAAGUCAUCAUGGCCCUUACGGCCAGGGCUACACACGUGCUACAAUGGUCGGUACAAAGGGUUGCUACCUCGCGAGAGGAUGCUAAUCUCAAAAAGCCGAUCGUAGUCCGGAUCGCAGUCUGCAACUCGACUGCGUGAAGUCGGAAUCGCUAGUAAUCGCGGAUCAGAAUGCCGCGGUGAAUACGUUCCCGGGCCUUGUACACACCGCCCGUCACACCAUGGGAGUUUGUUGCACCAGAAGUAGGUAGUCUAACCGCAAGGAGGACGCUUACCACGGUGUGGCCGAUGACUGGGGUGAAGUCGUAACAAGGUAGGCGUAGAUGA
rnacentral:rRNA from 1 species